rnacentral:rRNA from 1 species
AGCGAACGCUGGCGGCAGGCUUAACACAUGCAAGUCGAACGCCCCUUCGGGGGAGUGGCAGACGGGUGAGUAACACGUGGGAACAUGCCUUUCGGUUCGGAAUAACUCAUGGAAACGUGAGCUAAUACCGGAUACGCCCUUAUGGGGAAAGAUUUAUUGCCGAAAGAUUGGCCCGCGUCUGAUUAGCUAGUUGGUGAGGUAAUGGCUCACCAAGGCGACGAUCAGUAGCUGGUCUGAGAGGAUGAUCAGCCACACUGGGACUGAGACACGGCCCAGACUCCUACGGGAGGCAGCAGUGGGGAAUAUUGGACAAUGGGCGCAAGCCUGAUCCAGCCAUGCCGCGUGAGUGAUGAAGGCCUUAGGGUUGUAAAGCUCUUUUGUCCGGGAAGAUAAUGACUGUACCGGAAGAAUAAGCCCCGGCUAACUUCGUGCCAGCAGCCGCGGUAAUACGAAGGGGGCUAGCGUUGCUCGGAAUUACUGGGCGUAAAGGGCGCGUAGGCGGACGAUUAAGUCAGGGGUGAAAUCCCGAGGCUCAACCUCGGAAUUGCCCUUGAUACUGGUUGUCUUGAGACCGGAAGAGGUAAGUGGAAUUGCGAGUGUAGAGGUGAAAUUCGUAGAUAUUCGCAAGAACACCAGUGGCGAAGGCGACUUACUGGUCCGGAUCUGACGCUGAGGCGCGAAAGCGUGGGGAGCAAACAGG